UGUGCCAGCCGCCGCGGUAAUACGUAGGGCGCAAGCGUUAUCCGGAUUUAUUGGGCGUAAAGGGCUCGUAGGCGGCUCGUCGCGUCCGGUGUGAAAGUCCAUCGCUUAACGGUGGAUCUGCGCCGGGUACGGGCGGGCUGGAGUGCGGUAGGGGAGACUGGAAUUCCCGGUGUAACGGUCGAAUGUGUAGAUAUCGGGAAGAACACCGAUGGCGAAGGCAGGUCUCUGGGCCGUCACUGACGCUGAGGAGCGAAAGCGUGGGGAG
rnacentral:rRNA from 1 species